rnacentral:rRNA from 1 species
UCCGAAGGGGGCUAUCGUUGUUCGGAAUCACUGGGCGUAAAGCGCACGUAGGCGGAUCUGUUAGUCAGGGGUGAAAUCCCGAGGCUCAACCUCGGAGCUGCCUCUGAUACUGCGGAUCUUGAGUGCGGUAGAGGUGAGUGGAAUUCCUAGUGUAGAGGUGAAAUUCGUAGAUAUUAGGAAGAACACCAGUGGCGAAGGCGGCUUUCUGGACCGUGACUGACGCUGAGGCGCGAAAGCGUGGGGAGAAAACAGG